AUGCAGUUGAGCGCUGAAGGUUGGUACUUGUACCGACUGGAUGAGCAGCGAACGGGUGAGUAACGCGUGGGGAAUCUGCCUUUGAGCGGGGGACAACAUUUGGAAACGAAUGCUAAUACCGCAUAAAAACUUUAAACACAAGUUUUAAGUUUGAAAGAUGCAAUUGCAUCACUCAAAGAUGAUCCCGCGUUGUAUUAGCUAGUUGGUGAGGUAAAGGCUCACCAAGGCGAUGAUACAUAGCCGACCUGAGAGGGUGAUCGGCCACAUUGGGACUGAGACACGGCCCAAACUCCUACGGGAGGCAGCAGUAGGGAAUCUUCGGCAAUGGACGAAAGUCUGACCGAGCAACGCCGCGUGAGUGAAGAAGGUUUUCGGAUCGUAAAACUCUGUUGGUAGAGAAGAACGUUGGUGAGAGUGGAAAGCUCAUCAAGUGACGGUAACUACCCAGAAAGGGACGGCUAACUACGUGCCAGCAGCCGCGGUAAUACGUAGGUCCCGAGCGUUGUCCGGAUUUAUUGGGCGUAAAGCGAGCGCAGGUGGUUUAUUAAGUCUGGUGUAAAAGGCAGUGGCUCAACCAUUGUAUGCAUUGGAAACUGGUAGACUUGAGUGCAGGAGAGGAGAGUGGAAUUCCAUGUGUAGCGGUGAAAUGCGUAGAUAUAUGGAGGAACACCGGUGGCGAAAGCGGCUCUCUGGCCUGUAAC
rnacentral:rRNA from 1 species